rnacentral:RNase_MRP_RNA from 1 species
GGGUAUUCGGAAGGUUUGCUGUCUGGGCUACAUGCGGAGAACAUGGUUUCUCAAAGACCGCCCAGGGAAAAGUCCCCGGACCCGUGGCAGAAAGUGCCCUGGCGUGAGGCCAGAAACGGCUCGUGUCUCCCCGCUAAAGCUAAGAAGCUCGUCUGGAGCAGAGCUCGGGGAAUUGCUUGUCGUCUUUGUCAGGAACAAGAGAAAUGCAGGCGUGCGCGCGCACUGUGUAACAGAACGGGGCUCACUCUCUGAAUACC